UGGGGAAUCUUGGACAAUGGGGGCAACCCUGAUCCAGCGACGCCGCGUGGGUGGUAAGGCCUUCGGGUUGUAAAGCCCUUUCACUGGGGAAGAUGAUGACAUUACCCGGAGAAGAAGCGCCGGCAAACUCCGUGCCUGGAGGCGCGGUAAGUCGGAGGGCGGUAGCGUUGUUCGGAAUCUCUGGGCGUAAAGGGCGCGUAGGCGGCUGUUUAAGUCGAGGGUGAAAGCCCGGGGCUCAACCCCGGAACGGCCUUCGAGACUGGGCAGCUCGAGACCGGAAGAGGAGGGUGGAAUACCCAGUGUAGAGGUGAAAUUCGUAGAUAUUGGGUGGAACACCAGUGGCGAAAGCGGCUCUCUGGUCCGGAUCUGACGCUGAGGCGCGAAAGCGUGGGGAGCAAACAGGAUUAGAUACCCGUGUAGUCC
rnacentral:rRNA from 1 species